GAUGAACGCUAGCAGCAGGCCUAAUACAUGCAAGUCGAACGAUACCAGAGAGCUUGCUUUCUGGGAAAGUGGCGCACGGGUGCGUAACGCGUAUGCAACCUACCUUUAUCAGGGGGAUAGCCUCUCGAAAGAGAGAUUAACACCGCAUAAAAUACAAAGAAACGGCAUCGUUCAAUGAUCAAAUAUUUAUAGGAUAAAGAUGGGCAUGCGUGACAUAGUCUAGUUGGUGAGGUAACGGCUCACCAAGGCGACGAUGUCUAGGGGAUCUGAGAGGAUCGACCCCCACCA
rnacentral:rRNA from 1 species